UUAAUACUUACUUUAAAAGCUACGUUGAACCUCUUUUUGAAUGUGGAAUCUCUUUUUGGAACAUAUCCCCCCUCUAUUAGAAAGGGCAGUGUCGUGGUGGAGCAUAAGGUUUUACUGCGUGUAGAGAAUGGGAAGAACCUAACUAAUGACAUCACUGAGUCAGAAGAACAGACCAAGGACAUUCUCGAUGAGGCCAAAAACUGCACAACAGGUCAAGAAGGCUGCCUUGGAGUGACCAUCAUUGGAGAUAUCAUAGUCAAAAAUGCUACGUUUGAUAAAGAAUGGCUAAAGACAUCCAUACUGAACCAGUGAACCAGUGGCUGGAGGACGACUUUGAGUGGCCCGACAGGCCAACUACGAGUGGCGACUGGUGGGUUCAUGUAGUACCACAGUCCUAACAGAGAAUGACCCUAACCCACCUUAUGGUGGCUGAGUGGGCUUGCAGUACGAGGCAGACUCCUCCACGUCUCCCUACCAUGGAACACAGGCACAGGUGUUCAGGGAGAGGUUUGAGACCAUCUACCACGACUACAGUUCCUGGGGUGCUGAUAGGGACACCAUACAAGACAUAGACACCUGAACCGACCUCUUCGGGGCAACGUUUUGCAUUGAGUGACCCUGGCAGCCAAUCAAAGGUGGGUAGAAGGACAGAAUGCCGCAUUUAAAAUGUACUGUAUUUCUUUGUCGUCAAAAUUUGCUAAAAUUUGUCUAUCGCUUUUGGAAUUUCUGAUGCUCCCAGAAUGUCUAGCUUUCAUUUCGAUGACUGUUAGCAAUCUGGACAAAGUGAAGAGACUAUACAUGUAGGUCCAAUAUAAUUUCUACAAACUUUUGAUUUGGUUUUAGUAAUUUCAAUGUCGAUUGACAUCGUUUUUCUGCGACAAAAAAAAUAAAAUUUUCAGAUUGUAUAGGCUCACAGGCCUCGAGUUUGACAAGUGGUCUACAUUGUCAUUCAACCUGUUAAAAAGAAGCUGUAAAAUAUGUAUGUUAUACUGUGGUUGCACUUUAUAAACUGGUGUGUACUUUCAUGGUAAAUUACUACAUAAAGAUACUAUGGAGGAGCUAAGGUUGACUUUAAAAACCUAUUCCAUACUUAAAUACCCUUUUUUAAUAUUCCCUGACAGUUUAUGAUCAGCACUACAUCUACUCUGAGAUGUAGUGGAUCAUCCUUUAAAUCAGUGUUUCAUCGACAACCGGAAAAAAACAGACUGAAACAAGAUCUGUAUUGGACAGUCUCCUCUUUGGGAGCGAAGACUGAAUGAAACUUAUAGGGGACAAUGCAAAAACAGCAAAAACUGUUUGACCAAUGAUAUGAUGCAACUUAUGCCAGUUUGACAAUUAGCAUUACUCAUUUUUAACGUUGGUACUAAGGCUAAUGAAUAAUGUUGUAAUAUCACAUAUAUAUAUAUAUAUAUAUAUAUAUAUAUAACAUGGCCUAACAACGUGUCUGUAUACAGGGAACAGAUAUUAAAACACUCAAAACAUCUGAAAUGUGUAAU